rnacentral:rRNA from 1 species
AGAAUGAACGCUGGCGGCGUGCUUUACACAUGCAAGUCGAGCGAGGCGGGUAGCAAUACCCAGUCGAGCGGCGAACGGGUGAGUAACGCGUGGAUAACCUGCCCAGAGGUGGGGGAUAACCCGGGGAAACUCGGGCUAAUACCGCAUGAUACCGAGAGGUCAAAGGGGGCUCGCAAGAGCUUCCGCCAUUGGAGGGGUCCGCGUUCGAUUAGCUAGUUGGUAGGGUAAUGGCCUACCAAGGCGACGAUCGAUAGCCGGCCUGAGAGGGUGAUCGGCCGCACUGGAACUGAGACACGGUCCAGACUCCUACAGGAGGCAGCAGUGGGAAUUUGCGCAAUGGGCUAACGCCUGACGCAGCAACGCCGCGUGGAGGAUGAAGGUCCUUGGAUUGUAAACUCCUGUCAGCAGGAAAAAGCGACUACGUUAAUACCGUGGAGUUGAUUGUACGUAGCAGAGGAAGCCCCGGCUAACUCUGUCGCCAAGCCAGCCCG